rnacentral:rRNA from 1 species
UACGAAGGGGGCUAGCGUUGCUCGGAAUCACUGGGCGUAAAGCGCACGUAGGCGGAUUGCUAAGUCAGGGGUGAAAUCCUGGAGCUCAACUCCAGAACUGCCUUUGAUACUGGCAACCUUGAGUCCGGGAGAGGUGAGUGGAACUGCGAGUGUAGAGGUGAAAUUCGUAGAUAUUCGCAAAGAACACCAGUGGCGGAAGGCGGCUCACUGGCCCGAUACUGACGCUGAGGCACGGAAAGCGUGGG